GAUGAACGCUAGCUACAGGCUUAACACACGCAAGUCGAGGGACCGGCGCACGGGUGAGUAACACGUAUCCAACCUGCCCUUUACUCGGGGAUAGCCUUUCGAAAGAAAGAUUAAUACCCGAUAUAAAGGAUGGGGAUGCGUUCCAUUAGGUUGUUGGUGAGGUAACGGCUCACCAAGCCUUCGAUGGGUAGGGGUUCUGAGAGGAAGGGCCCCCACAUGGGAACUGGGACACGGUCCAAACGCGUACGGGAGGGAGGAGUGAGGAAUAUUUGGCAAUGGGCGCUAGCCUGAACCAUCCAAGUAGCGUGAAGGAUGAAGGCUUAUGGGUCGUAAACUCCUUUUAUAUAAGAAUAUGUAUUAUAUGAAUAAGGAUCGGCUAACUCCGUGCCAGCCGCCGCGGUAAUAC
rnacentral:rRNA from 1 species